GGUUUUGGAGAUUGUUGUGGUCAGAUCACUGGUCUUGUAAACCAGGGGUCGGGAGUUCGAUCCUCCCUGGGGGCA
rnacentral:tRNA from 1 species